AGCAGCCGCGGUAAUUCCAGCUCCAAUAGCGUAUAUUAAAGUUGUUGCAGUUAAAAAGCUCGUAGUUGAAUUUCGGGACUAAUAUGUCGGUCGUACUUUGUACGUACUAGCAUUAUUGGUUUCUCCCUUCUGACGAACCACGAUGUCAUUAAUUUGGUGUCUUGGGAAAUCAGAACUGUUACUUUGAAAAAAUUAGAGUGUUUAAAGCAAGCUCGCGCUUGAAUACAUUAGCAUGGAAUAAUGAAAUAGGACGUUUGAUUCUAUUUUGUUGGUUUCUAGGAUCGACGUAAUGAUUAAUAGGGAUAGUUGGGGGCACUAGUAUUCAAUUGUCAGAGGUGAAAUUCUUGGAUUUAUUGAAGACUAACUACUGCGAAAGCAUUUGCCAAGGAUGUUUUCAUUAAUCAAGAACGAAAGUUAGGGGAUCGAAGACGAUCAGAUACCGUCGUAGUCUUAACCAUAAACUAUGCCGACUAGGGAUCGGAUGAUGUUAAUUUUUAAUGACUCAUUCGGCGCCUUACGG
rnacentral:rRNA from 1 species